GGUGGGUCAUCGCCUAAUCGCCCUCACCAACGGGGGCGAACCGGGGAACCACUUCCUCCGUGCGACCGAUGUGAAUCGUGCGUGCGGAUUGGGGUGAAUCGCACAAGGAUUGAAGCUUCGGGCUUCUUUCUGCCUGCGUAGGGUCCAUCUCUUCCGGCCCGAACCCGACAGCUAACCCGGUCGGCGAUAAGGGAGAACAA
rnacentral:sRNA from 2 species